rnacentral:lncRNA from 1 species
UAAUGGUCGGAAUAAUAGUAAUUCAUUAGAAAGAAGUCGAGAGAAUCAAAUAGUCAGCGAAUUAUAGUGAAAGAGUUAAAUACUAUUACCAUAUAUAAAUAUUAGAAAGAAGCCUAGGGCAAUUAAAUUAGUUAUAUAAAAAGUACAAAACAUGGUACAGUAACAUAUAUGACCCGAUCCAUUCAUGCUGCUGGCGCAUAAUCAUAGAUAAGAUCAUCAUCGUUGUCACCAUCUUCUACCAAAACAGAUUGAGCAUACUCAAAUGCUUGAUGAUCACUGUUAACGACGUCGCAUCUAAUGCACAUCCCAUGGCCAUUAAUGCAGAGAACAAAUUCGGUGACAGAAAUCAUAAGUUUUUGUUUUUUUUGAAUAAUGGGAAAAGUGAAAGUAUAAAUUAAGUGUCUAUAAGAGCAAAUGCAAAACGCAGAUGUUUGAUGAGUGAAGAAG